GAUGAACGCUGGCGGCGUGCCUAAUACAUGCAAGUCGAGCGAACGGACGCGAAGCUUGCUUCUCUGAUGUUAGCGGCGGACGGGUGAGUAACGCGUGGAUAACCUACCUAUAAGACUGGGAUAACUUCGGGAAACCGUAGCUUAUACCGGAUAAUAUUUUGAACCGCAUGGUUCAAAAGUGAAAGUCGGUCUUGCUGUCACGUAUAGAUGGAUCCGCGCUGCAUUAGCUAGUUGGUACGGUAACGGCUUACCAAGGCAACGAUGCAUAGCCGACCUGUGAGAGUGAUCGGCCGCACUGGAACUGAGACACGGUCAAGACGCCUACGGGACGCAGCAGUAGGGAAUCUUCGGCAACGGGCGAAAGCCUGGCAGAACGACGCCGCGUGAGUUAUAAAGGUCUUCGGAGCGUGAAACUCUGUUAUGAGGGAAGAACAUAUGUGUAAGUAACUGUGCAGAUCGUGACGGUACCUAGUCAGAAAGCCACGGCUAACUACGUG
rnacentral:rRNA from 1 species